rnacentral:rRNA from 1 species
UACCCUGAACGGUGGAUCACUUGGCUCGUGGGUCGAUGAAGAACGCAGCUAAUUGCGCGUCAACUUGUGAACUGCAGGACACAUGAACAUCGACAUUUCGAACGCCACAUUGCGGUCCACGGAUACAAUUCCCCGGGACCACGCCUGGCUGAGGGUCG